GAUGUAGCAGUUUUUGUAAACGUUUACUUUGAAAGUAAAAAAAGGUUCUCCCUAUAUCU
rnacentral:tRNA from 1 species